UAAGUGAGACUGACAUCUUCAUUGGAUUUUGGCAUUACGGAUUAUAAUUGUGUGAUGUGUGUAUGUGUGUGUGUGUGUGUGUCUGCGUAUGUGUAUAAUUUAAUGUGUUUGAAUGGAUAAUCAGUGGAAUUCCUUUUCUGUGAUGAUACAAACCAAGACAGUGAAAGUUUCACAGAUGGGGAAUUUUACAGCUCUCUGUAGAAUAGUAGUGUUGUAAUGUAUUAUAACAUAUUUGUAUAGGACAGUGCUGAACAGCAGCAUUGCCAUAUAAAACAGGGAGUUGCAGUGUUGGGUUUAAACGACAAUGUUGCUUUUUGUUUGUUAAGGCAAUUGGAACAUGGACAGAGUGCAUAAUGAAGUACAGUAUACUAACGUUUGCACAGAAAUGCACUCAAAAAAGACACAACUCCUGGGAGGUGAUACCGACAGACUGGACUCAGAGACAAAAACCAAAAUUGUGUAUAAAUUGUGUAAACAAGUGUGGAAAUAACUGCACUGGUGCAACUAAAGAUAGACUGGCUGUGUCAAAAGCCAGAGUCCUAUGUCCCUUACCCCAUAAAUGCUCAGUUUGGUUCAAAUAUGGUGGCUGAGAAGGCCAUGACAUAUGGAUAACAUCACCCACACACCGGGAAUGAAGAAAAUACUUUAGCAUGGGCUGAAGAUGCUCAUUCAGUAGCACUGAGUUACCAUUAACAGUGAGCUUGCCUUCUAGGCAUGAACCAUGACAGGAAUAUCCAUUCCUCUUCAUAAUGGAACUAACUUGUCUAACACUUAGCUGUCGCUGCUUCCAGAUGCUGCUUGCUACCAUACUUUCCUAUUUGUUCUUUGAAUCAUGCACUUGUAUCCUUACUGUGUAUGGUGGCAUCUGUCAUGAAUGAAGCAAAAUUUUAUCAGUAUUUCUGUGAUUAAUAUUAAAAUUAUGUCUUCAUCAAUACGUGUCUUAAUCGUCUGAACAGAUCUUGUGUUGGGCAGAUCACAGGCCAGAGAUGUCCUGAAGGUCUUACUCGCUUAUUAUUUAAGUAAAAUAAUAAAUGCCCUGAUGUGGAUGAUAUUGGUGACUUUGUCUGAAGAUGAUGAAGUAAUCCCAUCCCAAUCCAAGCCCUUUGCCUCUUCAUGCAUCCCAGUGCCUCAGUACUGAAGGCUUAGACACAAACACCAGGACAAGAGUUUGUGUCUAAGCACAACAAUGACAUAAAGCUGUUUAAGAUUCCUGUUUCUUGUGAAAAGAGACACUGUUGUAAUAUAGUUAGGUGUAUCAUAUGGGAAGAUGUUCUCUUGUGGUUGGGGGGGAGGGGGUCUUGAAGCAUACCACUUCAUGCGAAUCCCAGGUGAGCCAAAGCCUCAAUAACUAUUAAUAUCCACCUGUUUAUCACCCUCACGACAGCCCCUAAUUGUUCUAGUUUCAGCGCUUCUGACUCUGUGUUUCCUGAGGGCUGAUCAUAUGAAAAAGAAUAAGAUAACGUUGAUAUACACAACAGAUGUUCAGAAGCAUAGCCUGUCUUUCGGUUUGUGCUCAGCGUGGUGAACCAAUAUCUACACGCCCAGAUGGUGGUAUUCAGACUUUGUUUCCUACUGUUUUGUCUGAGAUGGUGAACGGCAAAUAGUGUUUUGCCACAGGGCCCUACUUCUGCAGACCCACACUGACCCACUCUAUUUCCUGUCCACUUUAUGUGCCUAUAUACAGCACAACCUUAUCAGUUGCUCUCAUUUCUACACCUACUAAUCAUAUGCUUUGUCAAACUCCCAUCUACAGUACUUUAAAAAUAGGACUGUAAUAGUAUUUUUGUUCAGCUAAUGUCUGUGAACACAAAGGAUGUGCGCAAAACACACACUGAAAACCCUGCUGAAUAGCACCUUAGACUUUACCUUAGACCGUAGCUGAGAACGUUUAACUUUAGGCCAAUUACUUAAAAAUGUAGUAAACAUUGGGCAGCAUUACUGGAAUACAGUUUGUUUAAUUUGUGUGAGCUAACAUAGCCAAUAUUAUUUCAUGUAAUUUGACACAAUUUUGAUAUCAAUACUUUUAAUUGCAGGCCUAGAAUUUCUAAGUUUUAAUUAAUGACUUAUACACAGUGUUUUGUAUGGGUGAGCAUUUUUGUACAUUGAAAAUGUGUUUUACUUCAGCUCAGUAUGUGCAUGACAAAACAUCCAUAUAUGUACUAUAGGGUGUUUUAUUUUACUGUUACAAUUAUUUCGCCCAUCUGUUACAGUUAUACUGACCAGGCUGUAUGAAUGUAACAUCGGACUGCUUGUACCUUGGUUUGAAUUGUAUCCGACACUAUUAAAGUAAUAAUCUUGAAGAUUUUCAUUAAAAUAAAUGUCUUUUAAGUCACUA